rnacentral:rRNA from 1 species
CUCGAUGAGUAGGGCGGGACACGUGGUAUCCUGUCUGAAUAUGGGGGGACCAUCCUCCAAGGCUAAAUACUCCUGACUGACCGAUAGUGAACCAGUACCGUGAGGGAAAGGCGAAAAGAACCCCGGCGAGGGGAGUGAAAAAGAACCUGAAACCGUGUACGUACAAGCAGUGGGAGCCCCACCACCAAAGCAUUCUCUGGUGUUGAAGGCCCUGCAAAGCAGCAUCGCGGUGGCGGAGCGUCGUUUGCGACGCCCAACACACAAAACAAGCGGUGAGUGCUUUGGGGUGGGGUGACUGCGUACCUUUUGUAUAAUGGGUCAGCGACUUAUAUUCUGUAGCAAGGUUAACCGAAUAGGGGAGCCGGAGGGAAACCGAGUCUUAAUUGGGCGUUAAGUUGCAGGGUAUAGACCCGAAACCCGGUGAUCUAGCCAUGGGCAGGUUGAAGGUUGGGUAACACUAACUGGAGGACCGAACCGACUAAUGUUGAAAAAUUAGCGGAUGACCUGUGGCUGGGGGUGAAAGGCCAAUCAAACCGGGAGAUAGCUGGUUCUCCCCGAAAGCUAUUUAGGUAGCGCCUCGUGAAUUCAUCUCCGGGGGUAGAGCACUGUUUCGGCUAGGGGGCCAUCCCGGCUUACCAACCCGAUGCAAACUGCGAAUACCGGAGAAUGUUAUCACGGGAGACACACGGCGGGUGCUAACGUCCGUCGUGAAGAGGGAAACAACCCAGACCGCCAGCUAAGGUCCCAAAGUCAUGGUUAAGUGGGAAACGAUGUGGGAAGGCCCAGACAGCCAGGAUGUUGGCUUAGAAGCAGCCAUCAUUUAAAGAAAGCGUAAUAGCUCACUGGUCGAGUCGGCCUGCGCGGAAGAUGUAACGGGGCUAAACCAUGCACCGAAGCUGCGGCAGCGACACUCAGGUGUUGUUGGGUAGGGGAGCGUUCUGUAAGCCUGCGAAGGUGGCCUGUGAGGGUUGCUGGAGGUAUCAGAAGUGCGAAUGCUGACAUAAGUAACGAUAAAGCGGGUGAAAAGCCCGCUCGCCGGAAGACCAAGGGUUCCUGUCCAACGUUAAUCGGGGCAGGGUGAGUCGACCCCUAAGGCGAGGCCGAAAGGCGUAGUCGAUGGGAAACGGGUUAAUAUUCCCGUACUUGGUGUUACUGCGAAGGGGGGACGGAGAAGGCUAUGUUGGCCGGGCGACGGUUGUCCCGGUUUAAGCGUGUAGGUGUGUGUUCCAGGUAAAUCCGGUUCACUUUAACACUGAGGCGUGAUGACGAGGCACUACGGUGCUGAAGCAACAAAUGCCCUGCUUCCAGGAAAAGCCUCUAAGCAUCAGGUAACAUCAAAUCGUACCCCAAACCGACACAGGUGGUCAGGUAGAGAAUACCAAGGCGCUUGAGAGAACUCGGGUGAAGGAACUAGGCAAAAUGGUGCCGUAACUUCGGGAGAAGGCACGCUGACAUGUAGGUGAAGUGAUUUACUCAUGGAGCUGAAGUCAGUCGAAGAUACCAGCUGGCUGCAACUGUUUAUUAAAAACACAGCACUGUGCAAACACGAAAGUGGACGUAUACGGUGUGACGCCUGCCCGGUGCCGGAAGGUUAAUUGAUGGGGUCAGCGCAAGCGAAGCUCCUGAUCGAAGCCCCGGUAAACGGCGGCCGUAACUAUAACGGUCCUAAGGUAGCGAAAUUCCUUGUCGGGUAAGUUCCGACCUGCACGAAUGGCGUAAUGAUGGCCAGGCUGUCUCCACCCGAGACUCAGUGAAAUUGAACUCGCUGUGAAGAUGCAGUGUACCCGCGGCAAGACGGAAAGACCCCGUGAACCUUUACUAUAGCUUGACACUGAACAUUGAGCCUUGAUGUGUAGGAUAGGUGGGAGGCUUUGAAGCGUGGACGCCAGUCUGCGUGGAGCCGACCUUGAAAUACCACCCUUUAAUGUUUGAUGUUCUAACGUGGACCCGU